CUACGGGACGCUCCAGUGGGGAAUCUUAGACAAUGGGCGCAAGCCUGAUCUAGCCAUGCCGCGUGAGUGACGAAGGCCUUAGGGUCGUAAAGCUCUUUCGCUGGGGAAGAUAAUGACGGUACCCAGUAAAGAAACCCCGGCUAACUCCGUGCCAGCAGCCGCGGUAAUACGGAGGGGGUUAGCGUUGUUCGGAAUUACUGGGCGUAAAGCGCGCGUAGGCGGAUCAGAAAGUUGGGGGUGAAAUCCCGGGGCUCAACCCCGGAACUGCCUUCAAAACUCCUGGUCUUGAGUUCGAGAGAGGUGAGUGGAAUUCCGAGUGUAGAGGUGAAAUUCGUAGAUAUUCGGAGGAACACCAGUGGCGAAGGCGGCUCACUGGCUCGAUACUGACGCUGAGGUGCGAAAGCGUGGGGAGCAAACAGGAUUAGAUACCCGCGUAGUC
rnacentral:rRNA from 1 species